rnacentral:rRNA from 1 species
GAUGAACGCUGGCGGCGUGCCUAAUACAUGCAAGUCGAGCGAACGGACGAGAAGCUUGCUUCUCUGAUGUUAGCGGCGGACGGGUGAGUAACACGUGGAUAACCUACCUAUAAGACUGGGAUAACUUCGGGAAACCGGAGCUAAUACCGGAUGAUAUUUUGAACCGCAUGGUUCAAAAGUGAAAGACGGUCUUGCUGUCACUUAUAGAUGGAUCCGCGCUGCAUUAGCUAGUUGGUAAGGUAACGGCUUACCAAGGCAACGAUGCAUAGCCGACCUGAGAGGGUGAACGGCCACACUGGAACUGAGACACGGUCCAGACUCCUACGGGAGGCAGCAGUAGGGAAUCUUCCGCAAUGGGCGAAAGCCUGCCGGAGCAACGCCGCGUGAGUGAUGAAGGUCUUCGGAUCGUAAAACUCUGUUAUUAGGGAAGAACAUAUGUGUAAGUAACUGUGCACAUCUUGACGGUACCUAAUCAGAAAGCCACGGCUAACUACGUG